rnacentral:rRNA from 1 species
AAUUGAAGAGUUUGAUCCUGGCUCAGCGUGAACGCUGGCGGCAUGGCUAAAACAUGCAAGUCGAGCGCGAAAGUCCCUUCGGGGGCGAGUAGAGCGGCGAAAGGACUAGUAAUGCGUUUCUAUGUACCCCAUGGUCGGGGAUAGCCCGGGGAAACCCGGAUUAAUACCCGACGCCCUCUUCGGAGGAAAGAUUUAUCGCCAUGGGAGCAGGGAACGUCCUAUCAGGUAGUUGGUGAGGUAACAGCUCACCAAGCCUUAGACGGGUAGCGGGUGUGAGAGCAUGACCCGCAGUAUCGGGACUGAGACACUGCCCGGACUCCUACGGGAGGCUGCAGUAACGAAUAUUCCGCAAUGCACGAAAGUGUGACGGAGCAAUGCCGCGUGCAGGAUGAAUCCCCUCGGGGUGUAAACUGCUGUCAGUGACUAGAAAAAAAAUGAUCAGUCGCAAAGGAAGGACCGGCUAAUCUCGUGCCAGCAGCCGCGGUAAUACGAGAGGUCCGAGCGUUACGCGGAAUUACUGGGCUUAAAGCGUACGUAGGCGGAUCUACAGGUAUCCUGUGAAAGCCCACGGCUCAACCGUGGAAUUGCAGGGUAAACCGUAGAUCUUGAGGUGGCUAGGGGCUCUCGGAACGGUAGGUGGAGUGGUGAAAUGCGUUGAUAUCUACCGGAACGCCAAAGGGGAAGCCAGGGAGCUGGGGCCAUUCUGACGCUGAGGUACGAAAGCGUGGGUAGCGAACGGGAUUAGAUACCCCGGUAGUCCACGCCGUAAACGAUGUGCACUAGGUCGAGGGGGUUUGACGCCGCUCUCGGCUGAAGCGAAAGUGUUAAGUGCACCGCCUGGGGAGUACGGCCGCAAGGCUAAAACUCAAAGGAAUUGACGGGGGCUCACACAAGCGGUGGAGCAUGUGGCUUAAUUCGAAGCAACGCGAAGAACCUUAUCCUGGGUUUGACAUGCAUGGAUUAGCUUCCUGAAAGGGAAGUGACGCGGCUUGCCGUGGAACAUGCACAGGUGCUGCAUGGCUGUCGUCAGCUCGUGCUGUGAAGUGUCGGGUUAAGUCCCUUAACGAGCGCAACCCCUAUCACUAGUUGCUAACGAGUAAUGUCGAGGACUCUAGUGAGACUGCCGGUGUCAAACCGGAGGAAGGUGGGGAUGACGUCAAGUCCGCAUGGCCUUUAUGCCCAGGGCUGCACACGUGCUACAAUGGUUGGUACAGAACGAAGCAAGACCGCAAGGUGGAGCAAAUCGCUAAAGCCAACCUCAGUUCGGAUUGUGGGCUGAAAUUCGCCCACAUGAAGUUGGAAUCGCUAGUAAUCGGGGAUCAGCUACGCCCCGGUGAAUACGUUCCUGAGCCUUGUACACACCGCCCGUCAAGUCAUGGAAGCUGGUAGUACCCGAAGUCGCCCCGGUUCAGGGGUGCCCACGGUAAGGCCGGUGACUGGGACUAAGUCGUAACAAGGUAGCCGUAGGGGAACCUGCGGCUGGAUCACCUCCUUUCUAAGG